AACUUUCGGCAACGGAUCUCUUGGCUCUCGCAUCGAUGAAGAACGCAGCGAAAUGCGAUAAGGAAUGUGAAUUGCAGAAUUCAGUGAAUCAUCGAAUCUUUGAACGCACCUUGCGCCCCUUGGUUAUUCCUUGGGGCAUGCCUGUUUGAGUAUUAUGAACAGCUCAACUCUCACGGUCUUCCGUGACGAGCUUGGACUUUGGGGGUUUGCUGGCCCUGCGGCGGACUCCUCUGAAACAAAUCAGCUUGACAGUGUUGGGCGGCAUCUCACGGGUGUGAUAACUAUCUACGCUCGCGGUUGUCUGCCAGGUAACCCUCAGCGAUGAAUGUUCAUUGGGGCUCAUAAACGUCUCUCCACAGCGAGGACAGCUUUUGAACGUUCGAUCUCAAAUCAGGUAGGACAACCCGCUGAACUUUAGCAUAUCAAUACGCGCAGGCU
rnacentral:misc_RNA from 1 species